rnacentral:rRNA from 1 species
AUGGGCUGCUUCCAGGCGGGAAAGAGUGGCCCACGCGGGAAGCUUUCGCGGGAAAUAUUGGGCUCGCGCGCGAGUGCGAACAGCUCCGAUCUGUGCCCCUCCUCGCCGGGCUCAGCUCUCCCUCCAACUCUGGCGCAACAGCAAGGUGUGGCUCCCGUUCUCAUCUCACUUCUACCCCGGCCUCCUCUGAAUUUUCUUCUACCCCUCCUAAUACUCUGUUUCUUCCUGCAUUUGUUGCUGCAGCAGCGAGGUGUCCCUGCUCUGAUGGAUCCUAGGAGAAGAGCUACAUCAGAUGAUCCAGUUUGGAAGUAUGGGUUCUGGCCAGAUUUAGAGAGGAAAGAUUUACUCCAGUGUACAUUGUGUGGCAAGAUAGUCCAUGCUGGAGUGAGAAGGCUGAAGCAGCACCUUUCUUGGGGUUGUAGUGAUGCAGAUAUGUGUCCCGAGGCAUCUAUGGAGAUUAGGAUAGAGAUGCGCAAAUCCUUAAAACACUAG